GAUUAUGUCAUUGAUUAUGUUCCUAACUUUCACGACAUUCUUUUUCUCUCACAGGUGAAGAGCUCAUCUGAGGAUCGCAAGCUUGAGUAUGACAGGAAACGCAAGGUGGAGCAACUGCGCUUCAUGAGUGAUUUGUAUGAUGCGAUGUCAGGCAGAAGGAAGAAACCAAGAUUCAGAAGUCAAACAUCGCAGACUGGCCAGCAGCCUACGAGCCUCGAGACAAAACAUCGCAAAAUUGAUAACUGAAAGUUAUUAUUGGAAUCAAGAUUACUUAUUAUUUUUUCCUUUUUUUUUCCUUUUCAUCCUCCUCGGAAAAUUCUUCACACACACAGAC